GCGACGGUCCCGCGGCAGCAGCGGGCGGCGCGGCCGAUGGACAUGGGCACCCAGGGCUCGGGGCGCAAACGGCUCCCCAACCGGGAGCGGCUGACGGCGGAGGACGACGCGCUGAACCAGAUCGCGCGUGAGGCGGAGGCCAGACUGGCGGCAAAGCGCGCGGCGAGGGCUGAGGCUCGAGAGAUCAGGAUGAAGGAGCUGGAGCGGCAGCAGAAGGAGAUCUAUCAGGUUCAAAAGAAAUACUACGGGCUGGAUACGAAGUGGGGUGACAUCGAGCAAUGGAUGGAAGACAGUGAGCGCUACUCACGUAGAUCCAGAAGGAACACAUCGGCUUCUGAUGAAGAUGAACGCAUGUCAGUGGGUAGCCGUGGAAGCCUGAGGUCUCAGCCUGACUUGGAGUAUGGGGGACCCUACGCCUGGACAAAUGGUUAUGAUGGAGAAUUAUAUGGAUCCCAGUCCCUGAAUAGAAGAUCUGGCGGGAAUUCCAGCUACAGCGGUGACGGCAGAUUCUCUACUUUGUCAUCAUCCAGAGAGGAGACGUUGCCCUUGUAUCCGUACAGCGCUGCCAGGCCGGCUGGGAGUUACCGGGCGUCUGUGUUCCCUGAGAGCAGUCUCGGAGGGGCUCGGCGGGGCAAUGCCUGCGGUUCCCACACUCCCUCCGAGCCCAGCGGCCACCUCAAGUCCAGCUCCCGCUCCUCCUCCAGAGCCAGCUCGGCGCGAGCCAGCCCAGUGGUUGAAGAGAGACCAGAGAAGGAUUUCACUGAGAAGGGGUCUCGUAGCCUGCCCGGCCUGUCUGCAGCCACACUGGCCUCCCUGGGUGGGACUUCCUCUCGGAGGGGCAGCGGGGACACCUCCAUCUCCCUUGACACUGAAGCGUCCAUUAGGGAACUCAAGGAACUCAAUGAGUUAAAGGACCAGAUUCAGGAUGUAGAAGGCAAAUACAUGCAGGGAUUGAAAGAGAUGAAGGACUCACUAGCAGAAGUUGAAGAGAAAUACAGGAAGGCUGUGGUUUCCAACGCUCAGCUGGACAACGAGAAGACAAACUUCAUGUACCAGGUCGACACGCUGAAGGACACACUCCUGGAGCUGGAGGAGCAGCUGGCUGAGUCCAGGCGGCAGUUCGAGGAGAAGAACAAAGAGUUUGAAAGGGAAAAGCAUGCCCACAGUGUCCUCCAGUUUCAGUUUGCUGAAGUGAAGGAGGCCCUGAAGCAAAGGGAAGAGAUGCUUGAGGAAAUCCGACAGCUACAGCAGAAACAGGAGAGUUAUAGCAGGGAGAUUUCUGAUCUUCAGGAAACAAUAGAGUGGAAAGACAAAAAGAUAGGGGCAUUAGAGAGGCAGAAAGAGUUCUUUGAUUCCAUAAGGAGUGAACGAGAUGAUCUUAGAGAAGAAGUAGUCAUGCUGAAAGAGGAAUUAAAGAAACAUGGAAUAAUACUAAAUUCAGAAAUAGCUACCAAUGGAGAGACUUCGGAUGCUCUAAAUAAUGUUGGCUACCAAGGUUCUCCGAAGAUGACAAAGGAAGAGUUAAGUGCUCUCAAGGCGACAGGGGAUGGGACGCUAGGUCCAAACCAGACCGUGGUGGCUGUAUGUAAAAUGUUAAUCUUCCUUCAAAAGUGUAAGUAUAAUUAUGGGUUCAUACAGAAAACAGGGAAAGGUAACUGAGAAUUUUGAAUUAUAGGCUAUUUUAUAACAUACAAAGGUUGGGAAGCAAUAAAGAUUUUUAAAAGAGUGCUCAAGAAUGAGCUGUAUUACAUUGACUACUUUCUGGAAUGUUGAGUAUUUCCAGUUAGUGGAAAAUCUGACCUGAACAUUUAAAUUCCCACCGUCACUGGGACCCUGGAACACUGCUUCUGGGAGCUUAGUUUAGGGUUCCUGUUUCUGUUGAUAGACUCCUUCCGUAGGAGACCGCCUUGUACAGUGUGCCGCCACAGCCACUGAAGGGAACACAGCAGUAAGGGUCGUUCCAAAUGUCCACGUUCCAGAGGUGUUUGUGAGUGUGUUGUGUUCAGAAUAUAUGCUUAUCCGGCGUGGUGAUCUGAUACAGAGAAAACUAUCUUUCAGCAGGAAAACCCUUUCAGCCUUUCUGCCCCCUUACGUUGAAGACAUACGUAUUUUUCGAGGUGUGAAAGGCUUCAGCUGUCCCGCUGGACUGAGGCCAGCAGCGGCUGGUGCUGACGGCUCCCCUCUGUACAGGCCUCUUGGGUGCCAUAAACAGCAGGAAAAGAACCGCCCUCAGCAGCCCGCCCCGUUCUUUUUCUUACAGGAAGGAGGCGCGACCCUGACGUGGGAGCCACUUGGGGAAAGUGCAAACUGACCGCGUGAACUAUAAUCACGCUGAGCCAGUGCAAGGUGGGGGCGGAGAGAGGGCCAUACCUCCUCAGGGGAUUUCUUGAGACCUCGGUCUUGCGUUCAUUAUCUUUGCCAGCGUGGAGGGAAGGUGACCUUCCUCUGCAGGGGGGAGAGGAAGACUGAGGCCCGGGAUGGUUGAGAUCAACCCACAGAAGGGAAAUUAGAUUCUUGAUAGUAUAUUACUAAGAGCAAGCUACUUAGCCUCACUGUGCCUCAUUUUACUCUCAGAGGUUGGGGUUAGAGUGGUGGUGAGGAUCAGACCCAGGUACAGCACUAAAGAGAGUUAGUGCUGGGUGACUGGUUGUCGCCAGUGGUUGACCUUGCUGCAGCCUGGACAGCUGUGGUCACAGCCUGCAAGCCAAGGAAGGGCAGACAGGAGCGGGGCGGGGGUCCUGGUGCCUGCUUGCUGCCCCCGUGACUGUCUCACCAUCUCCCCACUUGGUUUCUUGUUUCACCCUUUAACAGUAUACUAAAAUAACUUUUUAAUUGCCAAUUCAUGUUAACUUCCCAACAUGAAAGAAAACUCUGAGUUGGAGGCAUUGUGACUGCAUUGUCUUUAAUGCUUAUAAUCUGGGCGUUGGAAAGCAGUGAUGAACAAGGCUGCCCAGUGAGGAGAGGUUUACGACACUUGUUAGUGUCACAGUCAUUACCCGUGAUGCACCACUGCUCACUUCACAGGUGAGACCUGUUGAUUUUUAAAACUGCAAAAAAGCAAUACUCGUUUUUAAAAAUUUUUUUGUUGAUGUAUAGUUGAUUUAUAAAAUUAUAUUUGUUUCAGGUUCAUAACAGCAUUUUGGUAUUUUUAUAGAUUAUAUUAUAUCUAAAGUUAUUAUAAAAUGUCAACUAUAUUCCCUGUGCUGUUCAGUAUAUCCUUGCAGCUCACUCAUCUUAUACUUGGUAGCUUGUACCUCUUAAUCUAACCCUCCACCCACAUUCUGCCCUUCCUGCCUGCCUUCUCCCUCCUGGUAAUCACUGGUUACCAUCUGUGAGUCUGUUUCUGUUUCAUUAUCUAUAUAUAUAUUAUAUAAAUAUUCAUUUGUCUUAUUUUUAAGAUUGCCCGUGUAAGUGAUAACAGUGUUUGUCUGACUUAUUUCAGUUCUCGUUUUCUUUGUAUUAAAUAAUUUUACUUUUUUUUCCAGUUUCUUGAAACUAUUUAAUCUUCUCCAAUUCUGCUUUAAAAAUGUCUCCUCCUUAAAAGUUUCAUUUCUCUCUCUCCGUUUUUUGUAUUUUCACCUUAAGACUAAAGACCAGAUUACCCGUGUUUUAUUUUGGGUUUUUUGCUAGCGCUAUUAUUACAUUUUAAUAUUUGUUUUUUACUUGCUAUCUAAGAUAUUUGAGGUCUUCUAAUAGAAAAAAAUUGUAAAUAUAUAUAUAUGUGCUUCGAGAUCUUUCUCAUAUAUUCCUUCCAGUAUAUUCAGUACUUCUUAUGAUGCUUGUGGUUUUUGUAUGUGGGAAUGUAAAAUAUAUAAGAUAAAAUAAAAAGUGAUACUGAAUAAGAGGCAGGUUUAUAAUGACAAAAAUUGUUUUAGUGUUGGGUAGGUUUAUGGAAGGGACGAUAAAACAGCUGUCAGAAGCAAUUUGUAUGUAAAUUAAAAUGGAACUCAUUUAUCUUAUGCAUGACAUUUUCUGGUUUCAUUGAUUUUGUAAUUGUGCCUUUCAAAAUAGCAGCUUAGGGUGUUCGGAAAAACAAUUAUGGAGAAAAGCAUGUAACUUGGAUUAGGACGUGAAUAGAUGAUUUUUUUUUAUGACAACAAAGGUGCACUGUGUAUUAGUUAUUUCCGUUUCACGUAGCUGAUCCAGAGCUGGGCAGUGUGAGAGCACUGUCCCCUCAGGAGGAAGGGCCUCAGGCCAGUCCAGUCUGACUCAGAGGUCUCUGUUUAGAUCCAGAAAAGAGUGAGUGCAGUGGUGAAGGGUGCAGCCCUGGGGGCCUUGGGAAGGCUUCGGGGCCGGGUCCUCACCUGUGGAAGAGGGGCGUGGUAGCAGUGCCCACCUGUGGGUGUCACCAGGGGUGGUGUGAGCUGCUGGACAGAGCCCGGCCCACAGCCAGGGCACAGCAUGCGUUAGCAUCAAUCACCAUCACAUCAUCCUGACUUUGCCUGAAAACUGAUGCAGGAUUUUUCCCCUAAAAUCCUCCCCAGGUCUCCGUAUCCCUCUCUGUACUCUCGAGUUUGUCUCACUCAGCACCCCAUUAGAGAGAUGUCUGGGGGACUUCUAGGUGCUUAUGUAUAUGUAAACUACUGUAUCGGGGUGGGAGGAAUCACAGGACCUUGGCUACUGCUGCCGUCUUCCUCAGAAGAGUGACAGCUCUUGACAGGUGGGUCUGCAGGUGUAUUGUCAGCACACUUAGGAUUCAUAAGCCUAGAGUCAGAACUCUGCCCUUGGUGAGUCUUUGAGAGAAAUGAGAAAAGGUAAACACUUCUGGGCUGGGAACUUGGAAAGCCAAGACUAACGAAGACACUGGUGCCAUUUCAUCGCGAUUCUCCCUGUGUCUGUACCUUGCUAAUGACGUGAAACCAUAAAGCCUGUGAGAUUUUGUGUUGCAGUGUGGUUUGGCCCUAGAGCUCUUGCAUGCUAACCCAGAGUAGAAGAUUAGCCCGUUUGCAUGCAGCCGGAUGCUGCCCUGAUGAGACAAGCAUGUUGUGGGCGGUUGGCCCUGCUCCACCUCCCCUGGCUGAAUUCCUCCCCAGUCCUGUCUGUGGCCUCGUUCGCUGUGAUAUUAGGUUGAAAAAGCUUAUCGAUGAACGGGAAUGCUUAUUGGAACAGAUUAAGAAACUCAAAGGGCAGCUGGAAGAGAGACAGAAGAGCAUCAGACUAGACAAUCUACGCCCUGAAGAUGCUGUCUUAGAAAACGGGA